AAUUAAGCAAUUAGUCACUAGUUGUAUUUGCUUUGUUUCUGAGCUAGUGGCAAACACUGCAGUAAAAUGACAGCUAAUCAUCUCCUUCUUUUCACUUUGACACCACAAGUUAGAAAGAGUGUUAAUGAAAAAUCCCCAGCAAUUAGUUAAAGGUGCAUCAGGUUUUUGCGCUGCAGUUUUUUCUAGCAAUGAGAAGGAAUGUAUCUGUUUUGGUCAUGCUGCUGUAUAUUUUAGCAAGUAAAAAACUCACCCAACUGUAAAGCCUAGGAGGAAGCUAACAAAACCAGUGUGAAACAAGUCAGCACCGUACUGGAACAGAAGAAAAGCAUACACAAAAUAAUCAUCCUCUCCAUAUUGAUGAGUUCUGGUUUAAAAUGUGCCAGAAGCAAAGCUGAACACUAUUCAAGAUGAACACUUUAGUUUGAGCUGUGCUCAGGUGCCUGUAUGCAAGUUUGUGCGUAGGGGGCAGGGAUUGAUGGAGUGAACGAAAAUAUGCCCCAUCUGCACAUUGGACAGGAAAAAAGAGAAAAGGGUGAAUUCCCAUUUUCGCUUUGAGUCAAGAAAUGAACAUAGUAAAAAGUAGCACUGCACUGCAAAAGGCAGUUUAUAACAUUAGAGGAGACAAAACGGUGAAGACCACUGCAUAUUUUACAGUAAAACCUGCUACUUGAAAGAAUCACUGUACAAUAACACCAGAGACCGUUUGGGUGGCCUACGGACAGCAUCAUGUCAUACCGUGCUGGGGUGCCUCUGUGGCACAGCAAGCAAUAGCAAGGACAGAAGAGCAGUGUGAGGUGGCACUGCAGGACGUGGUCUGCCUCCCCUUGGGGUGACUCCUAAGUAUCUGCUUGCAGACCUCAACUUCUCCUGUGCCCCGCCAGCAUGUGUGCUGCAAACCACUGAGCAGUCAUCAGAUUCUGCUUGUACUUCAGCUCCUGCAGCAAAGAAGAGGCUUUGGUGUCACGCUGCAUGACCAAAGGGGAAGGCUGAGGAAGAAGCCACCUCUGCAGAUCUCAGGAUGUAGCAAUGCAAGCGCUUUCUUCAGCAGCAAGGCCAUUUAAAGAACUUUCUACUUGAGGUUACUGCUGCUCUGCUGUAUCUCUGUGUCACACUACUGCAGUCUGAGGAGCCUCUGUGACAGUAGCUGGGGUCAUGAAAAUGAUCCAGCUUAAAACCCCCCCUUGCAAAAGCCUUAAGAGGUUGUUGGGGUUUUUCUUGUUGUUCUGCUUUGUUUUGACUGGAAUCUUUUUUUUGCUAUCAGCUCUGCUUUCUCCUUAGCACAACUGACAGAUUUGCAAAUAGUGAUGAGUUGCUAGAAGUCAGAAACUCCUCUUCUACUGGCUUUGCUACUGAUCAAAAAUGUGGAUCGCCUACGCAAUCAGUACCUCCUUCAGCACGCAAGGCUGAGGGGGGCAGGGGGUAUUGCUCAGCAACACCAUUGCAGGAACAGCAAUCUGGUGCCGCUGCAAGCAGCAUUCGGCCCUUUAACUGUACCUGAAAUUCGAUUUCUGGCAGAAUCAUUUCAAGGAAGAGGAUUUAGGGAAUUCUGAGCUCUGCAGCCUGGUCCACAUUUAACCCUCUUACAGGUAUAAUAGUAUCACUUGGGCAGGAUUUGUUAUUUUUCAGGUAGCUGUAUCAAUAAAAUCUCUGAUGUGAAUUUAAUUAUGCCAAUAUAGAAUUAUCUUAAAUAGGAAUACUAACUAUUCUGUUUCUCAUAUACGAAUUACUCUAUGAAUACAACACACUUUGUUAUGACUUCCCGCUUAAAUAAAUCUGCGAUUUGUUUAUAGCAGGUUAGGGAAUGCUCUGAGGUGACUAGCUCAUACCAUCCUUAACAGAUAAAACUUUAACGUACUAUCUUUGAAAAACAGCAUUUCUUGGUAAUUUUUUUUCCCAGAUGUCUCCGUUUCUGUCUUCAUCUACAACUAGACGUUUACAACAGAAAUGACCGUGUAUGCCUGUGCCUACAGAUGUAUCUUUUCUAUGUGCACACAUACAGAUGUGAAAAGCUAUAUAGCACAGUUGCUUUGCAUAAUGAGUUUCAUUUGUUUUCACAGGCCAGCAUCUUAAGCGAACCUUGGAAAAACUAUUGUGUGAUCAGUCAUCGCACUGAAGCAGCAGCACCCAUUUGGUACAGUUGAGUUUUAUGCUACAUUCAGUGAAUUGAGUCAGUUUGUUGAAGGGUGAAAUGUGCUCAUGUUGGUGCAACAGAUAUGGCAGGCGUGCACAGCUGGAACUGGAAGGAAACCAAGAGAAAAAACAAGAAGGCACUGAAGAUGCUACUCCAGAUCAAUGGAGGCUUUGGAAAACCACAUUUUUUCCAUAAUCACUGCAAACGUGGGAUAUACAAGUAACAAAUGAAGAACUCUCUUUUGGAGCAUCCAGACUUCACCCAGAAGCAAUUAUCAUAAGAUUCAGCAUUCCUUUCCAUAUAGCUGAAUUUCCAGUCCCAAUCCUCUUCCUCUGACUAGCGUAAGCAUUACACAAUUGCUUUUAUAUUGAACCCAAGGAAAGACUCUAUCGAUGCUUCUGUUUUCUCUUCUUCUGUGUAACUAAGCCUACAGUUCUUCAAAUCCCUGGUGGGCAGCAUUUUUAGGUGGUUUCAUAGCCACUGCAUUUCCACUUUUAGCUCUGAGCAUGUUCUCUUCCUAACCUGCCUGCCUGUUGCUGGCCAGGGAUAGGCAGUGAAGCACCAGUGCUGCACCUCUGCCCCAGGCACCCCCUCUCUCUCCCAGGAUGGUUGCAUCUCAGGUGCUGAGGAGCAAAAGGAGCUGCUUAAGCCUCCCCUGCUACAGGUUUGACCCCCUGGUGUUGAAAGUCCAGCUGAAAAGUCACAGGAGGUCCUUUCUUCCCCUCCUUCUAGCACCAGCCAUUCACCAGCUUUGGUGUUUGCCUCUCAGGGAACAAGUUAGGUCACUAAGCCAGCCAAAAACAUACCUUGCUGUGGCAGGGAGAUGUUGGGCUGGACCAGUCAUCCUCAUGGUGCAUGUCCUGAGAGACACUUGGCCAUCAGAGCACAGAGAUGCUGCAGGUACUUUGCCAUGCCUUCCCAGGGGCAUAUCUCUUACCAGCUGAGGAAUGCUGCUCCACAUCAUGGGCAAAUGACUGAGGUAAUGGAAGCUUGCCUCAGAAUGGUAUUUUCUUAAAUUUUUUUUAAGUGCAUCUUUCAUUGUCCCGCAGACUAGAAGGUUACCCCCCUUCGGUCACCCUCCUCCCCUGUUGUGGAGUAUUUCUUUUAACCCUGAUCAUUUCAGAUGUCUGAUGUACGAGUAAACCAUAGGCAACUGUUGCUGCAUCGCUGGGCGAGGAGGGCUAUGACACCCAGCAGGCACGAGGAGAGGGUGGGUAUGACUCUGUCCUACCCAGCCUUCACCUUCAAACCAGACCUUCACCUGGUACUGCCGUCAGCUGAGCCACUGCUAGCAACUGCCUAUAUGCUUGUAGCCCGUUCACAGGGCAAAUAAAAUGCUAAUUGCUUAAGCAGCUAAGAAGAUUGCAUUUUAGUUGCUCUUUGAACUGGUCAAAGAGUGCACGUGCACCAGUGCUUUUAGCCACACCACCUUGAUCUCCGGGAGUUGUGUGCCCAUAUCAUGCACCACACGUAAGGAGGUGCUGAGUGGAUUCCAGAGGCUGCAAAAUAAUCACACUUGGUAUUGCUGAACCAAGGGUGGACACGUGAAGGGAAAUGGAAACAUUAAAGCUGAGAACAGGAAAACUCACAAGAAUGUCAGAAACCUGAAGAAAAAAAAAGGAGACAAAGAUGUAAUUUCCAAAACAAUAACCAGAGAUCAAAGGAGGCUGAUGUUCUUUCAAAUCGAUGUUUGUGACAAAUCUGCAGGAGAAGGUUAAAGAGGAGCAUUAUUUUGAAAGGUGCGGUGAAAAAAGAGUAUUGCAGAGAAGCAACAGACAGACCCUGUAGCUUUUUUCUUGGCUCUCUUCUUGCCAUCACCCUCUGCAUUUCUGUGCUAGCCAUGCUGAGGUUUUCUGAGAAAAAUGCCACAGUGUGCUUCACUUUAAAUUGGCUUUAAAUUGAGCAGAGAUUAAGCUGUUCUACCCUCUGCUAUAACCAUAUGCCAUGGAAAUUCUCCUUACUCAUUCUUUGAGAUGCCUUGUUUUCUCUGCUAUUGCUAGAUCCAGUCAAUGCAUUUAAGGAUUGAACUGCACAGAUUUUCCCUUUUAGCAUUAUUCUUCACCAUACUCUGAUUUUAUUGCUUGUUUCCAAUUUCUGUCAAAACGAAUAAAUAAUUAGGGAUACCAAAAUGUUUCAUGUUGACACCUUAAUACGAGCAUUUCAGUUUUCCAUUUAUGAUACUUCAUAAUGAUAUUCCACAUGAUAUUUCACUAUGAAGAUUUGGUUUAUUUGACAUAGUUCUAAAAGCUGGAAAAGAAACUUUUUCUUCAUAAUUUGAUGCAGAAUGUCCAGCCUGAAGUGAACUUUUUUUUUCCUUGAUCAUCCCAAUCAUUGCCGUGUUUUUUGUGCCUCUUCAUGUGUGUUCUGGCAAAUGGAAAAAUCAGAUGCUCACCCUGUUUUGGCAACCACUCUAACAUUUAAUAGUCAUUCUCUGUGCUUUCUUAGGUCUUUGCGAUUCAGUACACAUGCUCUGAAAUAUUUCUAUGCUCGCUUUUUAUUUUUUCACAGGUGGGGAACAACGUCAGGGUUAUGUGCAGUGGGUAAUCAGUAUUCCAGAGAAUGAAGGACCAAGAAUUAACUGGUGGAGUACACAGAGAAGAGCCUGACCUUUGGCGUAUAUAAACUCUGCAAUUAGUCCUUGUCCUUCCCACUUUAUGCAUGAGGGUUAAGCGGUCUGAUACGAAAAGGGGAGGUCAGCAAGCCAACGUGCCAAAGUAGAACUACCCAGGCAAUGUAAGGAAGCUUCUAAGAGUUCAGGAUAACACAGGUUGAAGAAAAUGCUGGGACUUGACUGACUCCUGGGAAGAGGGGGUGAGGAGACUGCAGUGGGGAGAGGUGCGGGCCCUUCACCCCCCGUUACUGCAGCGGUAGGCCUGGCACCAUGGCCACUGCCUCUGCCUCCCUGGCACUGUCCUCACGCGCCUGCUGUUAGCCCUGCCUCUGACGCGCCGGGUGGCACGCUUGGGUGACGAGGAGCAGGUACGGAAAACCUGUGAACGGCUUGUGCCGCUCGGGGAAUAGCUAGGCAACGCCUGGGGCUGGCGACUGGAGACAAGGUGCUGUCUUUCUACCUUAAUAGUGUCUGUCUGCUUCUAACAGGGCCAGAGAAAUUUUCUAAUUUUCUUUAACUUACCCGGCCUAGCUAGGGGAUUUGGAUUUAGCAGCUGUUUUGACAGGCAGUAGCGUCCUUUAAUUUUUUCUCUCGCAGAAAAAGAAAUAGCGAGGCUUUGGGAUUUAAAUGAUGUCUGUAUUUUUAACCUGUUCCUUGAUGUUUAAAGAAAGACAAAUGUAACCUUUUUAUAAGGUUAAGAAAAUGGUCAGGAGAAGCCAGUGUUUUAGACAAAAAAUUGUCUUUUCAUUAGUGCAAAACAUUCUUUAGGGUUAUUUAACAUCUUCCAUAAGUUAGUGGAAGACUGCCUAAUGUGGGUUGAUGUGGACUACUAUGCUUUAUUAGUUCUAUAGACCUACACAGUGCUUUUUUUGUACCUAGUGGAAAUGGGUAAAAGGGCCUUAUUUAGCUGUUUUUCAGUUCCCAUUUUACCCACUGACUGGAAAGACCAGACACUUUUUUGGCUCUGAAUGUCUUCCAAAAAAUCUGUGCUCCUUCCCUUCCUGAAGGGAUUCGAGGGAACUCACAACAGGGGGCUCUCAAGGCUUGCUUAAGGAAAAACAUGUAACUCAGCCCUGCAUUUCUUCAGUCUAAACGAAAUACCCCAAACUAGAAUAUGAGCCAAGAUUUCUGUAAGAAUGAUGUUGUGCGUGAACAAGACCAGUCCAGUACUACGAGAGAGUUAUUACACCGGUAUAAAUCAGAGCAGCCUGAAUUCCACACUUGCAUUGCUUCUCGGGCUAGCACUGAGAAAGCUUUUCAGGCCUGAUUAGUCGUUUGAGUGAAGUGUAAUAAAUAUCAGAGAAACUAAUUCAAAAAACCUCUCGGUAAAUGUGAGGCAUAGCUGCUCUCUAGUGGACUUGUGAAUAGUGUUAGCAGUGUAGGUACGCUUCACAUCCCCAGAAAAUAAUCGUGUGGAUAGUCUGCUGAGAGACAGAAGAUGAACGGUGCCUCCGCAUGUGAGUUCAGCUGCUGCUUCGUUUCCUUGCUGUCUCUUCCCCUCCUUACGGAGCUGACUUACAUCAGGGUUACAGCAAAUAGCAGAAUGCAAUAGCAACUUAAAAAAAUAUCCCCAUUGCUGUGGCAAGCAAUAUUUAAUUAUCUAUAUGUUGUAGUUCUGUUUGCAGACGGCAGUGUUUCCAUUUAGCAUCGUGCGAGAGUGGCAAGUAUCUUAGAGCUAAGGAAAACCAUUUUACCAGAAAAGGGGAGGUGUACAAAGUACUUUUUUCCUUAUGCUGUACAGAAAAAUACCUGCUGCACAUAGGACCUUCGCAUUUGGGAAAGUGAGAUCCUCUCGGGCUUUCUCAGGAGAAAAAAACUACUGAUUUCAGUGGGAUCAACAUCAAAUCGAGUCAGUCUGCCCGGGCAUAAGUGUGUGCACACAGAGGACCAAAUAACAUGAUUCAAACCCCCUAAAAGUUUAUGAGAGAGACUGAAAAAGUUAAUCUUUAAUACUAUGAACAAAAUAAUGUGUGCAACAAAACAGCCUGUACUUAACCCAACAUCGUUUUUUUUAUAUAUGUGAGAAGGUUUGCUUAAGAUGUAACAUCUAUUUCAAAAGGAACUUUAGGCAUAACCUGGACAUCCCAUUUCUUAGAUUUUCAUUAAAUUACUGAGAACGGUGUUCCCACCAUAAAGAAGUCUGUCAAAAUACUGAAGAUGUCAAAAGAGUAUCUCAUAUUAUGGAUUCUUACACAACCCUUAUCUUUUGUGUGUGUGCCAACUUUAUUAACAAGUUAAUUGUGGUGCAAUGGUAAAGAAAAUGUAUUUAGAGUUGUAUUACCUAAUUAAAUUUUAAAUUAAUGGUACCCACCUUAAUCCACAGAAAGCUAUAAAGAAAAAAAGAUAAAAAAAAAUCUCAGUUAGUGGGGGAAAGAAGAAUGAUAAAGAACAGAGUUGGUAAAUGGUUUCUUUUGGUGGUCCUUUGGUUCCCUCCAAGGAAGCGUACUGCAUGCUGCCUGGAUCAAGUCCCUCAGCAAGACAGUACUUGCUGUGUAUUGCUGCGUAACAUGAGUAUGUUACAGUAGUAGUAGUGAUGUACCUGCUAUGAUGGAAAACAGACAUUACAGUGAAUGUAUACACUACAUUGCAAUCACUUGUACAACUAUGGGAACGCACGUGUGGAAGAUAGAGGGAAGGA